rnacentral:rRNA from 1 species
UAUUGGACAAUGGGGGCAACCCUGAUCCAGCGAUGCCGCGUGUGUGAAGAAGGCCUAAGGGUUGUAAAGCACUUUCAGUGGGGAGGAGGGGUCACAUGUUAAGAGCUAGUGACUUGGACGUUACCCACGGAAGAAGCACCGGCUAACUCCGUGCCAGCAGCCGCGGUAAUACGGAGGGUGCAAGCGUUAAUCGGAAUUACUGGGCGUAAAGGGUUCGUAGGUGGUUUGAUAAGUUAAGUGUAAAAUUGCUGGGCUUAACCUGGCGUGGUCAUUUAAUACUGUUGGACUAGAGUAUAGGAGAGGGUAGUGGAAUUUCCGGUGUAGCGGUGAAAUGCGUAGAGAUCGGAAGGAACACCGGUGGCGAAGGCGGCUACCUGGCCAGAAUUGACGCUGAGGCACGAAA